rnacentral:snoRNA from 1 species
ACGCAUCGAUUGACAGACCUGGAGCAGUUACUGUCUGCUGCCAAGGUUUCCACUGCAGAUGCAAGCCAAAAGUGUCCUUGCGCUUUCUGUCUGUCUGAUUGUGAAAGUCAAGAUUGAGUAGAGGAAUACAGGG